UAUCAGGAUGAAGUCACUUGUGCCUAGGCACUCGAGUCAAGUGUCUUAAAUUAUUAGUCAUUGUACGGUAAAUUACAUUACAACGAUCUCUUAUUUUUUUUUAAGAGAAGUCUAAUAAAUUAUCAGAAGUGGAAUAUCACACGGGAAGAUAAACGCGCGUUUGAAAAUGAUACACAUUUCAUUAAAAUCAUUAUAUUACGUACAGAUUACAAGAAUAAAGUUAGAACGGUAUAAUUAUUUUUCUGAUAGUUAGAAUACCGCACAAUUAAUUGUAUGAUGUAUGGUUAAUCGAAUAUCUCAUCGAUAUUUGUAAAGUGCUCGUGGUUAAAUAUUUAUAAAUAAGAGUAGUAAUGAAUCUGGUGAAGGAACUUCUUACCAACUCGAACAAAGCAAAUAGAAUCUACGAACCAACAACAAACGUCAAUAAUAUUACAGGACAAAAAUUGUUAAUACGAAAUUUGCGUAUAUGAGAAAACAACGACCAAGCCAUAGAUAUAACACAUAAUCGAUUCACAGUCAAAAGAGUAUGGACAAAAGGAAACAACAAUUCAGAGAACAAAAAAUAUACUCGGAAUCAAGCGAAGAUAAAUAAACGGUAAUAAGCAUGAUUGACUAAUUAUUUAUCUUCUUAUUUGCAAAAAGGUACAGUAAGUGCAAGAAACCGUCUAAUCAUUACUCCGGUAAUUAAAAUACCGCACAAUUUAAUUAUGUGGUUUAAUAAAAAUCUGAUAGUUACAAAAAGCGACUUUCAAAAUGUUUCGGUUAAGUGAAUAUAAAUACGAGGGCUAAAGAAAGUGGUGAAAGAUCAUUUAAAUAAUAGUCGGACAUAUCAAGGAGAAAAAAGUAAGCAAAUCAAAUCUACAAAAAAAAAUGUCAAUAACAUUAGAGGACAAAGAUACUCAAGACGAUAUAAUGUUAAUAAAAAACGUUCCGACAAAGACACAGAAUUACGACCUAAACAACAAUAUUGAGUGCAAAAAAGUAUUGUUGAAAUCGAACUGAAGUGAAUACUAAAGGUAAGAACAAUAAUUAAUAUAUUUAACAAAGAUGUACACUUUUAUUCGCAGGCAGGAAUAGUAACCGAAAGAAAUUAUGGAGAUAUAAGUGAAAUAUUAUCUCCAAAAUAUGAUAAGAAAAAUGCGACGGGAAAAGUAAAUUGAGAUCCCAUUAUAUUGGAAAACUCGAAUAUUUGGAAAUUUCACAGAAUUUUCUGGAGAACUAUCUAUAUCGAUAGAUCUGAGAUGAAUAUAUUAUUCGUGGAUCCAAAAUCUGUACAUUAUCAACCCUAUUGAGUAUUCCAUUAGGAAUAGCAAUAAUAAUAGUCAGGAAAUAAAUGACGAAUAGCAAUUGAUGGAAGCCGACAUCAUCGAAGAGGAUGAUUUUCAAUUCUCCAGUCCGGUAAAAUCGGUCAAAAAAAAAAUAGGAAUGUGCAUGGACUAUCAACCACAUGUAUUAUAUAUCGGUAAAUGGUAAAAUACUCAAGCAACAGUAUCCUAUAGCUCAAGUAUAGUAUACUAAUU